ensembl:lncRNA
GGGGCUGGUGGUUGGGGUUGUGGGGCUGGUGGUGGUGGUGGUUGUGGGGCUGGUUGUGGGGCUGGUUGUGGGGCUGGUGGUGGUGGUUGUGGGGCUGGUUGUGGGGCUGGUGGUGGUGGUUGUGGGGCUAGUGGUUGGGCUGGUUGUGGGGCUGGUUGUGGGGCUGGUGGUUGGAGUUGUGGGGCUGGUUGUGGGGCUGGUUGUAGGGCUGGUUGUGGGGGUGGUUGUGGGGCUGGUGGUUGGGGCUAUGGGGGUGGUUGUGGGGCUGGUGUUGGUGGUGGUUGUGGGGCUGGUUGUGGGGCUGGUGGUCAGCGUUGUGGGGCUGGUGGUGGGGCUGGUGAUGGGGCUGGUUGUGGGGCUGGUUGUGGGGCUGGUUGUGGGGCUGGUGGUUGUGGUUGUGGGGCUGGUGGUGGUGGUUGUGGGGCUGGUUGUGGGGCUGGUGGCUGUGGUUGUGGGGCUGGUGGUGGUGGUGGUUGUGGGGCUGGUGGUUGGGGCUGUGGGGCUGGUUGUGGGGCUGGUGGUGGUGGUUGUGGGGCUAGUGGUUGGUGUGGGGGUGGUUGUGGGGCUGGUGGUUGGAGUGGGGCUGGUUGUAGGGCUGGUUGUGGGGCUGGUGGUGGGGCUGGUUGUGGGGCUGGUUGUGGGGCUUGUGGUUGGGGCAGUGGGGCUGGUGGUGGGGCUGGUGGUGGGGCUGGUGGUUGGAGUGGGGCUGGUUGUGGGGCUGGUGGUUGUAGUUGUGGGGCUGGUUGUGGGGCUGGUGAUGGGGCUGGUGGUUGGGGUUGUGGGGCUGGCUAUGGGGCUGGUUGUGGGGCUGGUUGUGGGGCUGGUGGUUGGGGCUGUGGGGCUGGUUGUGGGGCUGGUGGUGGGGCUGGUGGUUGGAGUUGUGGGGCUGGCGGUGGGGCUGGUGGUUGGAGUGGGGCUGGUUGUAGGGCUGGUUGUGGGGCUGGUUGUGGGGCUGGUGGUUGGGAUUGUGGGGCUGGUGGUUGGGGUGGGGGUGGUUGUGGGGCUUUCAGUGGUUGUGGGGCUGGGGGGUGUUGUAGGGAUGGGAGUGGUUGUGGGGCUGGUGGGUGGGGUGGGGGUGGUUGUGGGGCUGUUGGUGGUUGUGGGGCUGGGGGGUGUUGUCGGGAUGGGGGUGGUUGUGGGGCUGCUGGUUGGGAUAGGGGUGGUUGUGGGGCUGGUUGUAGGGCUGGUUGUGGGGCUGGUUGUGGGGCUGGUGGUUGGGAUUGUGGGGCUGGUGGGUGGGAUCGGGGUAGUUGUGGGGCUGGAGGAUGGGGUUGUUGGGUUAGGGGUGGUUGUGGGGAUGGAGGUGGUUGUGGGGCUGGGGGGUGUUGUAGGGAUGGGGCUGGUUGUGGGGCUGCUGGUUGGGAUAGGGGUAGUUGUGGGGCUGGUUGUUGGAAUGGGGCUGGUUGUGGGGCUGGUGGGUGGGGUUGUGGGGAUCGUGGUUGGUGUGGGGCUGGUGGUUGGGAUGGGGGUGGUUGUUGGGUUAGGGGUGGUUGUGGGGCUGCUGGUUGGGGUGGGGGUGGUUGUGGGGCUGUCGGUGGUUGUGGGGCUGUGGGGUGCUGUAGAGCCAAUGGAGGUUGUGGGGCUGAAGGCAGUUCUGGGGCUGUCGGGUGCUGUAGAUCCAAUGGUAGUUGUGGGGCUGCCGGUGGUUGUGGGGCUGUUGGGUGCCGUAGAGCCGGUGUCGGUUGUGGGGCUGCCGGUGGUUGUGGGGCUGAUGGCAGUUGUAGAGGCAAUGGUGGUUGUGGGGCUGUCGGGUGCUGUAGAGCCAAUGGUGGUUGUGGGGCUGUCGGGUGCUGUAGAGCCAAUGGUGGUUGUGGGGCUGUCGGGUGCUGUAGAGCCAAUGGUGGUUGUGGGGCUGUUGGGUGCCGUAGAGCCGGUGUCGGUUGUGGGGCUGCCGGUGGUUGUGGGGCUGAAGGCAGUUCUGGGGCUUUCAGGUGUUGUAGAGCCAAUGGUGGUUGUGGGGCUGUCGGGUGCUGUAGAGCCAAUGGAGGUUGUGGGGCUGAUGGCUGUUGUAGAGGCGGUGGUGGCUGUGGGGCUGCCGGUGGUUGUGGGGCUGAUGGCUGUUGUAGAUCCAGUGCUGGUUGUGGGGCUGCCGGCUGCUGUGGGGCUGCCAGCUGUUGUGGAGCCAAUGGAGGUUGUGGGGCUGUCAGGUGCUGUAGAGCCAAUGGUGGUUGUGGGGCUGAUGGCUGUUGUAGAGGCGGUGGUGGUUAUGGGGCUGUCGGUGGUUGUAGAGCCAAUGGUGGCUGUGGGGCUGCCGGUGGUUGUGGGGCUGAUGGCUGUUGUAGAGGCGGUGGUGGCUGUGGGGCUGCCGGUGGUUGUGGGGCUGAUGGCUGUUGUAGAUCCAGUGCUGGUUGUGGGGCUGCCGGCUGCUGUGGGGCUGCCAGCUGUUGUGGAGCCAAUGGAGGUUGUGGGGCUGUCAGGUGCUGUAGAGCCAAUGGUGGCUGUGGGGCUGCCAGCUGUUGUAGAGCCGGUGGCGGUUGUGGGGCUGCCGGUGGUUAUGGGGCUGUCGGUGGUUGUAGAGCCAAUGGUGGCUGUGGGGCUGCCGGUGGUUGUGGGGCUGUUGGGUGCUGUAGAGCUGCCGGUGGUUGUGGGGCUGACGGCAGUUGUAGAUCCAGUGGUGGCUGUGGGGCUGCCAGCUGUUGUAGAGCCAAUGGAGGUUGUGGGGCUGCUGGUGGUUGUGGGGCUGCCAGCUGUUGUAGAGCCGGUGGUGGCUGUGGGGCUGCCGGUGGUUAUGGGGCUGUCGGGUGCUGUAGAGCCAAUGGAGGUUGUGGGGCUGAAGGCAGUUCUGGGGCUGUCGGGUGCUGUAGAUCCAAUGGUAGUUGUGGGGCUGCCGGUGGUUGUGGGGCUGUUGGGUGCCGUAGAGCCGGUGUCGGUUGUGG